ACGAGUGGCGAACGGGUGAGUAAGACAUCGGAACGUAUCCGCUCGUGGGGGACAACUUCCCGAAAGGGGAGCUAAUACCGCAUGAGAUCCGAGGAUGAAAGAGGGGGACCCGCGAGGGCCUCUCGCGAGCGGAGCGGCCGAUGACUGAUUAGCUAGUUGGUAAGGUAACGGCUUACCAAGGCGAUGAUGCAUAGCCGAGUUGAGAGACUGAUCGGCCACAAUGGAACUGAGACACGGUCCAUACUCCUACGGGAGGCAGCAGUAGGGAAUCUUCCACAAUGGGCGCAAGCCUGAUGGAGCAACACCGCGUGAGUGAAGAAGGGUUUCGGCUCGUAAAGCUCUGUUGUUGGAGAAGAACGUGCGUGAGAGUAACUGUUCACGCAGUGACGGUAUCCAACCAGAAAGUCACGGCUAACUACGUGCCAGCAGCCGCGGUAAUACGUAGGUGGCAAGCGUUAUCCGGAUUUAUUGGGCGUAAAGCGAGCGCAGGCGGUUGCUUAGGUCUGAUGUGAAAGCCUUCGGCUUAACCGAAGAAGUGCAUCGGAAACCGGGCGACUUGAGUGCAGAAGAGGACAGUGGAACUCCAUGUGUAGCGGUGGAAUGCGUAGAUAUAUGGAAGAACACCAGUGGCGAAGGCGGCUGUCCGGUCUGCAACUGACGCUGAGGCUCGAAAGCAUGGGUAGCGAACAGGAUUAGAUACCCUGGUAGUCCAUGCCGUAAACGAUGAGUGCUAGGUGUUGGAGGGUUUCCGCCCUUCAGUGCCGGAGCUAACGCAUUAAGCACUCCGCCUGGGGAGUACGACCGCAAGGUUGAAACUCAAAGGAAUUGACGGGGGCCCGCACAAGCGGUGGAGCAUGUGGUUUAAUUCGAAGCUACGCGAAGAACCUUACCAGGUCUUGACAUCUUGCGCUAACCUUAGAGAUAAGGCGUUCCCUUCGGGGACGCAAUGACAGGUGGUGCAUGGUCGUCGUCAGCUCGUGUCGUGAGAUGUUGGGUUAAGUCCCGCAACGAGCGCAACCCUUGUUACUAGUUGCCAGCAUUAAGUUGGGCACUCUAGUGAGACUGCCGGUGACAAACCGGAGGAAGGUGGGGACGACGUCAGAUCAUCAUGCCCCUUAUGACCUGGGCUACACACGUGCUACAAUGGACGGUACAACGAGUCGCAAGCUCGCGAGAGUAAGCUAAUCUCUUAAAGCCGUUCUCAGUUCGGACUGUAGGCUGCAACUCGCAAACACGAAGUCGGAAUCGCUAGUAAUCGCGGAUCAGCAUGCCGCGGUGAAUACGUUCCCGGGCCUUGCACUCAACGCCCGUCA
rnacentral:rRNA from 1 species